UUUGGUUAAAUGGUACCAAAUAAAUCGCAGUUACAAACUCAUUCGUCCGACAAAAAUUAUUUUAAGCCGCAUUCAAAUAAUCGUUAUUUUCGGAACACUAAAAACCAAGUCGUGAAAAUGGAUCCAACAAACGUGCUUUCAAAAUUUUUAUUCAUGAUCUCAAUAACGUUUAGUUUCGAUGUUCUUCUAACUUCAACUGUCUCGCUCAAUCGUGGAGUAAAAUCAACCUUCAAAAACCGUCUGGGGGCCAAAAAGACGUCAGCGAUCAUCAAUGGAACUCCGAGUUUGACAGACAGACUGUUUUAUGUGCAAAUUACACUCUAUAGCCUUUCAAGGAAGUUUUUCUGUGGGGGAACACUCAUUGAGAGAGACUGGGUCUUGACUUCGGCGCAUUGCGUUCACCAUGUUCAAGCAAACAAAAUUCUUGCGACGGUUGGCGACUGCAGUGAACUGGGUUGUACUCCAAGAGCCAAGAGAAUCCACAAGGUGGAAAAGAUCUUCAUUGCACCCGGAUACCGGACUGUCGUAGAUUCAAUGGGCAUGAAGCAUCACAACAACAUUGCACUUCUUAAACUAUCCAUGCCUGCCUCCAAAUUGAUAGCCGAACCUCUCCCGAUCUGCCGCGAAAAUGUACCCUUGGGUGAAAUACUUGGGUUUAGCGGCAUGGGUUCCACAUCGAAGAAGUUCGAGGCGCUACCGACUGCUCUGCGAGACACCUAUUUCUACGAAUCCGUCUUCUUAAGUCCUACUACAUCAUCACUCGAAACAUGUCCUGAAGAAAACAUAUGUUCUGAUUCUUUGAUGCUGGAUUCCAGUAUUUGCAGUAUGGACCAAGGUGGACCAUUGUUUAAACUAAAAUGUGAGUCAAAGACCGCGGAAUGCUUGUAUGGAGUUGCGAGUUAUUUUGAGAGCUGGUUUGAGCCUGAUCAAACUGAGACCGAAACGUGCAACGGGGGAAGUGUGUUUACCAAUGCAGUCAAACAUUACAAAUGGAUCGCACAUACAGUGUCUUAUUCGUAGCCAGACAACUCAAAACUGUAGAAAACUUUUGCCCUGAACUUUAAUUUACCGCGUAGCUUUAAACUAAUUUAAAUAGCUUUAACACUAAACAAACUUCGCAAUUCAAUCUAAUUGACAUUAUUGA